GACGAACGCUGGCGGCGUGCUUAACACAUGCAAGUCGAACGGAAAGGCCCUGCUUUUGUGGGGUGCUCGAGUGGCGAACGGGUGAGUGACACGUGAGUAACCUGCCCUUGACUUUGGGAUAACUUCAGGAAACUGGGGCUAAUACCGGAUAGGAGCUCCUGCUGCAUGGUGGGGGUUGGAAAGUUUCGGCGGUUGGGGAUGGACUCGCGGCUUAUCAACUUGUUGGUGGGGUAGUGGCUUACCAAGGCUUUGACGGGUAGCCGGCCUGAGAGGGUGACCGGCCACAUUGGGACUGAGAUACGGCCCAGACUCCUACGGGAGGCAGCAGUGGGGAAUAUUGCACAAUGGGCGGAAGCCUGAUGCAGCAACGCCGCGUGCGGGAUGACGGCCUUCGGGCUGUAAACCGCUUUCGCCUGUGACGAAGCGUGAGUGACGGUAAUGGGUAAAGAAGCACCGGCUAACUACGUG
rnacentral:rRNA from 1 species